CAGUAUCUGAAACAGAUGCGCCAGUUUUUUUAAACACAAACCCUUGCAAUCCAUCCCCUGAUCGUUGGACUCUGUUAUGGUUCGCCGUGAGUGAAUCCCAUGGCUCGGGUAUGAUGCUAGAAAACUUGUACGCUGUCCGGCACUGCGGUACAUGGUAAUGCACGACUGCGGCAUGCUUUCAUGAUAUGUCAAAACAGCUAGCUCUGACGCUUUGUGUCCUAGAAAAUGUGCCGUACUCAGACAUUUAAGUUCCACAUUACCAGAUAGCGUUAACGUUUUCAACCAUACCGCCGUUGACAUGCAAUUAACUCACUGCGAAUCGUAAAAGAUACAUGAUGUUGUCUUGGGAUGAAUAGCAAAGCCCUGUAUAAGCCUAACUUUGAUUUAUCUAUUUUGCUUCCAGUACCAAACGAACUGUCUUUGAAUGUGGCUCCUCAAGUACAGUUCGAUUGGUCCUGGGAACAAAACAUAUAUAAUUUAGUUUCUUCACGACAGCACAAUCUUCCCGUUUGCGAACAUCGCGUGCAAAACUCCACAAAGAAAUUUAACGGAAAAUCGGAGUUUUGCUUGCAUCUUUGGCAAACGUGAUAUACCCGCUUGUCGUGUAGAAGCAAAUAAAUAAAUGAAAAAAAAAACAACACAUCGGUGUUAAGAUAAGCACCAUAAGACCAUAAGCCAUUUUCCCAAACACGAUCGAAAAGGGAUUCCUGUCCCCAAGAUACAUUCGACUACUUUACUUUAUGUUAAGAGUGUCCUAUUUUGUUAUCAGUAAAAUGUGGCAAACUGUUUGUAGACAGUCCAUUGGAAACCGCAAUGUCAUGUUAUAUUUGACAAUCGCUUCGACCGGUCCCGUUUAGAUCGAGUUCAGGAAACUGGCUAUAUAUCAGGUGCUAGCCAUUACGGACUCUACUCGUUAGGAUGUAAUCUAAUCUGAAUCCUCUCUACCGUAGCAUAUGGACUAUGUAUCAUGGCUGGUUUGUCUAAAAAGGUUUUUUAGCAAUUCUUCUCAAAACAGCGAAUGUUUUAAGGAUUCUUUUUGAAUCAAUCCCAUGAAGGCGACACGUUGCUUGAAACCGUGGACGAUAUCCAGAACUGCGGGACUCGAAUCUAUGAAUACGAUCGAUUUUCUCUAUUUGUCAAAGCGAUUUGACAUUUGAUGUCUGAGAAUGUUUACCGUAAUCAUGAAUUUCAGUUCCCAAUUUCCGGGUAUCGUCAACAUUUUUAACAUCCAGACUGCGAAGCUUACAUCCACGACUGAAGCACAUUCUCUCGGUUAUAACAAAACUGCGGAGGUUUCGUGCCAAGAAAGUGUACCCCAGCCCUGUAUUUCGAAUCCACAAUACCGAGUAUCGAGAACGUUUUUAAGCAUCGUGCCGCUGUCAUAGCAUAGACCAACGGCGAAUCUGAAAAGUGUCCAGCUGUCUUGGAAUCAAUCACAAAACCCCAAUGUAUAAAAAGUCCAACGCUUAUGUGAUUAGAUAAUGUUCAGUUCACGAAUUGAACAUUGAAACAGAUUAGAUUAGAUCCUGUGGUUUGAGCGUUUUGGCCACGCACUUAAUUUUGGCACUAUGUAGCUACCAUUUUGACAAUUGGUAAGAGUCAAGUUGCUGCAGGAAUGUUUCAGCCUGAAACUUCUUGCUUUAUUCUCGGAACUGUCCUCCGGGUUACUCGCACCAGCGCACCGAACGGCCUUGGCCGAUCGCAGUUUACUACCAGAGCUGGACAUUGCACUUAUUCCACACACUCUCUUCUGCGCCAUGAGACCACUUCGGGAACAAUUCAAUCAAACAUACUAUGCAUCAAGAUACUAUGUUGCACGUAUGUGUUAAUUGCAGAAUUUUCAUAAGUUCAGAAUGUCCAUAAUUUCAUUUUCACCCUUAAUAAUUAUCUAAGAUUAAACUUGGAAUGGUGCUGGCGGUCGUCGCAACUUGACGGUCUUGCCACUUUAGCGCCUGAUUUCAAACUCCUUUGACCAUAACGUGUCUUAGCGUAACGUGACUGGUCAGAGCAAAAUGCGUUAUCAGUGCUUCUUUUAUCGUAUGAAUACUGAUAUUGCUGAUGCCGAAGACGACUGGCGAUUAAUUUGCGAAUUGGAAAGGGACGCACAUUUUUAUCUUAACGUCUUAAUCUAAUGCAAUGUAAUCUUAUCGUUGUUUUAGUUACAUACUUUUACUGAUAUUGCCUGGACUUGACCUGGUAAUCAUGGUCUUGAUUUUUAUACGCAGGUAUUCUGUGCAAGAGUCAUGUGUUUAGUUAUGAAGCGUGAAAGUGUGCAAUUUACCAGAAUUUCAACAUUUCAGCAACUUGAAAGUGCCUGUAGCUUUAACUACCCUCUAUCAUGUUAGGGACUGAGGGUGAACGGAACUACCUUUGAUCCAACGGGAUUAAGAAGGCCUUGGACAGAUGCAGCGGUACCGGUAUAGAAUCUUUUCGUGACUAAAAGGAGACCUAAAAUGAAUAAAUAAAUUGUUGUAUUCGAUGAUCAUUCAAGCUCAACUAGCACCCGGCAAGUUGAGCAACAAUGAUCCGUCGAAGCAAUCUGUCUUGAUUA